ACUCUAGACGAACUGCCGUGACAAACGGAGGAAGGUGGGGAUGACGUCAAAUCAUCAUGCCCCUUAUGUUCUGGGCUACACACGUGCUACAAUGGCCGGUACAGACGGAGGCGAAGCCGCGAGGCGGAGCAAAUCCGAAAAAGCCGGUCUCAGUUCGGAUUGCAGGCUGCAAUUCGCCUGCAUGAAGUCGGAAUCGCUAGUAAUCGCAGGUCAGCAUACUGCGGUGAAUACGUUCCCGGGCCUU
rnacentral:rRNA from 1 species